rnacentral:rRNA from 1 species
GACGGAGGAUGCAAGUGUUAUCCGGAAUCACUGGGCGUAAAGCGUCUGUAGGUUGUUUAAAAAGUCUGCAGUUAAAGGUUGAAGCUUAACUUCAAAAAUGCCGUAGAAACUUUUAAACUAGAGGAUGGUAGGGGUAGAGGGAAUUUCCAGUGGAGCGGUGAAAUGUGUAGAUAUUGGAAAGACCACCGAUGGCGAAGGCACUCUACUGGGCCAUGACUGACACUGAGAGACGGAAAGCUAGGGGAGCGAAUGGG